rnacentral:rRNA from 1 species
AUUGAACGCUGGCGGCAGGCCUAACACAUGCAAGUCGAACGAGUGGCGGACGGGUGAGUAAUGUCUGGGAAACUGCCUGAUGGAGGGGGAUAACUACUGGAACCGGUAGCUAAUACCGCAUACCAUCGGAUGUGCCCAGAUGGGAUUAGCUAGUGGGUGGGGUAACGGCUCACCAAGGCGACGAUCCCUAGCUGGUCUGCGAGGAUGACCAGCCACCAUGUAACGGAGACACGGCCCAGACUCCUACGGGAGGCAGCAGUGGGGAAUAUUGCACAAUGGGCGAAAGCCUGAUGCAGCCAUGCCGCGUGUAUGAAGAAGGCCUUCGGGUUGUAAAGUACUUUCAGCGGGGAGGCGUUACCCGCAGAAGAAGCACCGGCUAACUCCGUGCCAGCAGCCGCGGUAAUUC